UACGGGGGGAGCAAGCGUUGUUCGGAUUUACUGGGCGUAAAGGGCGCGUAGGCGGUCAGCACAAGUCAGUUGUGAAAUCUCCGGGCUUAACUCGGAAAGGUCAACUGAUACUGUGCGACUAGAGUGCAGAAGGGGCAACUGGAAUUCUCGGUGUAGCGGUGAAAUGCGUAGAUAUCGAGAGGAACACCUGCGGCGAAGGCGGGUUGCUGGGCUGACACUGACGCUGAUGCGCGAAAGCCAGGGGAGCGAACGGG
rnacentral:rRNA from 2 species